rnacentral:rRNA from 1 species
CCUACGGGCGGCAGCAGUGGGGAAUAUUGCACAAUGGGCGAAAGCCUGAUGCAGCGACGCCGCGUGAGCGAUGAAGGCCUUCGGAUCGUAAAGCUCUGUCCUCAAGGAAGAUAAUGACGGUACUUGAGGAGGAAGCCCCGGCUAACUACGUGCCAGCAGCCGCGGUAAUACGUAGGGGGCUAGCGUUAUCCGGAAUUACUGGGCGUAAGGGGUGCGUAGGUGGUUUCCUAAGUCAGAGGUGAAAGGCUACGGCUCAACCGUAGUAAGCCUUUGAAACUGGGAAACUUGAGUGCAGGAGAGGAGAGUGGAAUUCCUAGUGUAGCGGUGAAAUGCGUAGAUAUUAGGAGGAACACCAGUGGCGAAGGCGGCUCUCUGGACUGUAACUGACGCUGAGGCACGAAAGCGUGGGGAGCAAACAGGAUUAGAUACCCUUGUAGUC